rnacentral:rRNA from 1 species
AUUGAACGCUGGCGGCAUGCUUUAUACAUGCAAGUCGAACGGCAGCGCGGGCUUCGGCCUGGCGGCGAGUGGCGAACGGGUGAGUAAUGCAUCGGAACGUGCCCAGUAGUGGGGGAUAGCCCGGCGAAAGCCGGAUUAAUACCGCAUACGACCUGAGGGUGAAAGCGGGGGACCGAAAGGCCUCGCGCUAUUGGAGCGGCCGAUGUCGGAUUAGCUAGUUGGUGGGGUAAAGGCUUACCAAGGCGACGAUCCGUAGCUGGUCUGAGAGGACGACCAGCCACACUGGGACUGAGACACGGCCCAGACUCCUACGGGAGGCAGCAGUGGGGAAUUUUGGACAAUGGGGGCAACCCUGAUCCGGCCAUGCCGCGUGCGGGAAGAAGGCCUUCGGGUUGUAAACCGCUUUUGUUCGGGAAGAAAUCCUCUGGGCUAAUACCCCGGGGGGAUGACGGUACCGGAAGAAUAAGCACCGGCUAACUACGUG